GGGAAUGUGGCUUAGUGGUAGAGUGCUUGCCUAGCAUGCAUGGAGCUGGGUUCAAUUCCUCAGUACCA
rnacentral:tRNA from 1 species